GACGAACGCUGGCGGCGUGCUUAACACAUGCAAGUCGAGCGAUGAAGCCGGAGCUUGCUCCGGUGGAUUAGUGGCGAACGGGUGAGUAACACGUGAGCAAUCUGCCCUUGACUCUGGGAUAACUGCGGGAAACUGUAGCUAAUACCGGAUACGACACCUUGGGGCAUCCCAGGGUGUGGAAAGAAUUUCGGUCAAGGAUGAGCUCGCGGCCUAUCAGCUAGUUGGUGAGGUAAUGGCUCACCAAGGCGACGACGGGUAGCCGGCCUGAGAGGGUGACCGGCCACACUGGAACUGGGACACGGUCCAGACUCCCACGGGAGGCAGCAGUGGGGAAUAUUGCACAAUGGGCGAAAGCCUGAUGCAACAACGCCGCGUGAGGGAUGAAGGCCUUCGGGUUGUAAACCUCUUUUAGCAGGGAAGAAGCGAAAGUGACGGUACCUGCAGAAAAAGCACCGGCUAACUACGUGCCAGCCGCCGCCGUAA
rnacentral:rRNA from 1 species